AGAGAGGUCGGGACUGGUGUUCCAGUUGGUCUUCAAAACCAAUGACAGGCGGAUAAAACCGGCUGUGGCAGGUUCGAUCCCUGCCCUCUCUGCCA
rnacentral:tRNA from 1 species